UGCUCCGGUCCGACGGUCGAGGCGAGGGGAUGACAAGGUAACCGUAAAGUUUAACGUGCCCCUGAUUGAUUUUGGUCGCCAACGAGUGGCGGACGGGUGAGUAACACGUAGGUAACCUGCCCAGAAGCGGGGGACAACAUUUGGAAACAGAUGCUAAUACCGCAUAACAGCGUUGUUCGCAUGAACAACGCUUAAAAGAUGGCUUCUCGCUAUCACUUCUGGAUGGACCUGCGGUGCAUUAGCUUGUUGGUGGGGUAACGGCCUACCAAGGCGAUGAUGCAUAGCCGAGUUGAGAGACUGAUCGGCCACAAUGGGACUGAGACACGGCCCAUACUCCUACGGGAGGCAGCAGUAGGGAAUCUUCCACAAUGGGCGCAAGCCUGAUGGAGCAACACCGCGUGAGUGAAGAAGGGUUUCGGCUCGUAAAGCUCUGUUGUUAAAGAAGAACACGUAUGAGAGUAACUGUUCAUACGUUGACGGUAUUUAACCAGAAAGUCACGGCUAACUACGUGCCAGCAGCCGCGGUAAUACGUAGGUGGCAAGCGUUAUCCGGAUUUAUUGGGCGUAAAGAGAGUGCAGGCGGUUUUCUAAGUCUGAUGUGAAAGCCUUCGGCUUAACCGGAGAAGUGCAUCGGAAACUGGAUAACUUGAGUGCAGAAGAGGGUAGUGGAACUCCAUGUGUAGCGGUGGAAUGCGUAGAUAUAUGGAAGAACACCAGUGGCGAAGGCGGCUACCUGGUCUGCAACUGACGCUGAGACUCGAAAGCAUGGGUAGCGAACAGGAUUAGAUACCCUGGUAGUCCAUGCCGUAAACGAUGAGUGCUAGGUGUUGGAGGGUUUCCGCCCUUCAGUGCCGGAGCUAACGCAUUAAGCACUCCGCCUGGGGAGUACGACCGCAAGGUUGAAACUCAAAGGAAUUGACGGGGGCCCGCACAAGCGGUGGAGCAUGUGGUUUAAUUCGAAGCUACGCGAAGAACCUUACCAGGUCUUGACAUCUUGCGCCAACCCUAGAGAUAGGGCGUUUCCUUCGGGAACGCAAUGACAGGUGGUGCAUGGUCGUCGUCAGCUCGUGUCGUGAGAUGUUGGGUUAAGUCCCGCAACGAGCGCAACCCUUGUUACUAGUUGCCAGCAUUAAGUUGGGCACUCUAGUGAGACUGCCGGUGACAAACCGGAGGAAGGUGGGGACGACGUCAGAUCAUCAUGCCCCUUAUGACCUGGGCUACACACGUGCUACAAUGGACGGUACAACGAGUCGCGAACUCGCGAGGGCAAGCAAAUCUCUUAAAACCGUUCUCAGUUCGGACUGCAGGCUGCAACUCGCCUGCACGAAGUCGGAAUCGCUAGUAAUCGCGGAUCAGCAUGCCGCGGUGAAUACGUUCCCGGGCCCGUACACAUCGCCCGGAUCAACACUAUAAAGUUACCUCCUUCUCCUUCUCCCUCCCUCCCGCGCGGUCGCGCGCCCGCCCCAUCCA
rnacentral:rRNA from 2 species